UACGAAGGGGACUAGCGUUGUUCGGAAUCACUGGGCGUAAAGCGCACGUAGGCGGAUGUGUCAGUCAGGGGUGAAAUCCCGGGGCUCAACCUCGGAACUGCCUUUGAUACAGCACGUCUCGAGUCCGGAAGAGGUGGGUGGAAUUCCUAGUGUAGAGGUGAAAUUCGUAGAUAUCGGGAGGAACACCGGUGGCGAAGGCGGCGACCUGGGUAGAUACUGACGCUGAGGUGCGAAAGCGUGGGGAGCAAACAGG
rnacentral:rRNA from 1 species